UGGGGAAUAUUGCACAAUGGGGGAAACCCUGAUGCAGCGACGCCGCGUGAGUGAAGAAGUAUUUCGGUAUGUAAAGCUCUAUCAGCAGGGAAGAAAAUGACGGUACCUGACUAAGAAGCCCCGGCUAACUACGUGCCAGCAGCCGCGGUAAUACGUAGGGGGCAAGCGUUAUCCGGAUUUACUGGGUGUAAAGGGAGCGUAGACGGUAAAGCAAGUCUGAAGUGAAAGCCCGGGGCUCAACCCCGGGACUGCUUUGGAAACUGUUUAACUAGAGUGCUGGAGAGGUAAGCGGAAUUCCUAGUGUAGCGGUGAAAUGCGUAGAUAUUAGGAGGAACACCAGUGGCGAAGGCGGCUUACUGGACAGUAACUGACGUUGAGGCUCGAAAGCGUGGGGAGCAAACAGG
rnacentral:rRNA from 2 species